ensembl:lncRNA
AGGAAGCAGAGGCACUUUCAGAAAGCAUGUUGCAUCAUGGGGAAGUUUCAGCCCCUUCUUCAUCAACUAUUACUGGAGAUCCUUGUGGUCAUACUCAAACCUAAUUGUACAAAGUACUAUUAAACAGGAGAUUAAUACAGAUGAGAAUAUCUUCUCAAUGAGAUUAAUUCUCAACAAAUGAAAAAUCCUAGAAAAAGAUCCUGGAAGACACUUCAGCAAACCUUUGAGCACACUGUCUUGUUCUAAGGCAAGAUUCAAUGUAUUAACCCCUGUCAAGAGUUUAUUCAACCUUUUUUUGUAGGAAUAAUAGGCCUUCUUCCUACUGACAUGGAUUCUCAGAUGGAUCAGUAAUUCAUGUGGCAUUAUCAUCCUGUGAAGAGAAGCCUUGGAAGAGCAAAACAUUGAAACAGAUAAAAGACCUGGAAGAUCCUGUUAUCCUGUCUUUGGCAAGGUACAGAACAAGUGCACAGAGUUGUUUCCCCAGAAAUAUUCACCUUCCUUCCUCCAACAGUUUGCAACUCAAUGUCUUCCUGAGCCAGAGCAGUAAUCACAUUCAACUAUUACUGGACUUCUCUUCCCGGAAUAUUUUCCAUAUCACCUUCAAUUCAUGUAGAUGUUCAGUACCUACAGUAUCCAGAUACCUCUUGGGCCUGUAGCCACUGCCAACUCUUUUCAACAAAAGCUAACAGACUGUCCGCCAGAAGUUGAACAAUAUCAUCUGUCACUUCAAAGCGCUCUUGUGUACGACUUAUCUUACCCUGGCAGAAAGAGGUUCAUUGGGAACUAAAAUGGGCAAGACAUGCAAAGACAGUAGUGAAACAAGCCAAGGAAGGAAUUGUUCAGAAUGGACAACUAAUGCUCAUUUGCAGUGCUUUGGGACCGUGACUCCAUGGUCUCCCUGGGCUGCCUGUUCCAGUAUCCCAUCGCUCUUUGAGAAGAAAUGUUCUACAAGAUCCAAAAUGAACCUUCCUUGGUACAGCUUAAGGCCAUCGCCUCUCAUCCUGUUUCUGUUACCUGGGAGCAGAGGCUGACCCUCACCUCAUCACAACGUCUUUUCAGGGAGUUGUAGAGAGUUGUGAGGUCUCCACUGAUCCUCCUCUCAUCCAGACUGAACAAUCUCUUUUCCCUCAGCUGCUCUCCAUAAUAAUUGUGCUCCAGAACUUCUCAGCUUCGUUGAUCUUCUCUGGACAUGCUCCAGGACCUCAAUGUCUUUUACUGAGGAACUCAAAACUGAACACAUCACUCGGCCUCACCAGGGACAAUCAUCUCUCUGCUCCUGCUGACUUCAUUGUUUCUGAUAAAGCCAGGAUGCCAUCUACCUUACUGCUAAAAAAGUAUCCUUUUUACAUUUUCCACUUGGUACUCAUUAGGGCCACAUAAACCUUUCUGGGAGAUAUUGUCGCCCUCUUGCUUUGGAAGAGAAGCUAAGCCACAGUCACUGGUAUGUCCUCAGUGUGUAUGACCUCAUUUUAAUAGGUAGAAAUAGAGAGCUGUUCCAUGCAAACCAAAGCCACAAGCCUUAGGGGAUUUUUCUCCUUGAGAUUUGAACUAUUUGUUUGGCCUUUGUUAAGCAUAUUCAAUUUUUACUGGCAUUGUUUCUCUAAAGUAGUAACAAGCCAUCAGGGUUUUCUUCCUGAAAUGUAUGCUGUUAAUAUGUUCAUUGUCCUAUACACUCUAUGUCAGUUGAAGUUGUCUGGCUGCUGCUAACCCUCAUAAAGCUGUUGAGAAAUCAGUGAGGGAGAGGGAUUUUGGUCUAGGUAGAUAACUGAGCUCUUUAUAUCAUUUCUUUUUUCUACAGCUAGCAUGCACCAGAGUAAUAGCAAAGAAGCACAGUAAUGUUAAGCAUCUUGCCUAAAGAUCUAUGUGUGUUUCAUAGAGGAGUGAGACACUGGGGAUAUUUAUAAACCUACCUGGCAAGUAAACUCUAUUUAAGGAAACAAAAACAACAACAACAAAAAAACAGGAACAACAACUACUCUUGUAGAUUACAGGGGAUAUAAUUAAGGAGUAUCAGGGGUCCAACAUGUUUCUUGCUGAGAAAAAUAAGAACAGUUUCAUGCAAAACCCUUUUGCCUAGAGUAGCUUGACACAUCAUGCUAUUUUCCCGUGAAUUAUAUGCUGUCAUUUAAACAUAAGAGUAUAAACCUACUGGCUUACUACAAAGCUUUUAAAAUUUUAAUGCAUAUGAAAAUCUUUUCUCUUGCUUGAUAAAUGGUCCCAAAUUAAUGUAAAAUAAAUCUCCAUGUAGGUAACAUUCACAGAAAGAAAGGGAGAAAGACAGGCAAAAAAAAAAAAAA